AUAAUUCUUAUGAAGGUCUGUUAAAAUAACCACUUUCUCCAUGCUUUUAUUUUGAUACUGUAUUUUGCCGUCAUGGGUCUUUUAUUUUGACGCAGGAAGUUUGAAUCUACAGUAGGUAACUUGACUUGAAGGAGAUCGCGCGAAAAGGUUAUUACGUGUAAUUACGGAAGGAAUUCAGGCUACAAACGGUUGCUCUGCAUAACAAUUUGUAGUAAUUAAUAAGUGCCUAGCUGGAAUGGGAACAAGCUCUUACGGUGUUUAUGAAGAAAGAUGUGAAGAAAGGAAUAUUUAUGCUCAAAACAAGGCUGACGGCUGAACGUAAAUAAAGGCUUCUGAAACAUC